rnacentral:rRNA from 1 species
UACGAAGGGGGCUAGCGUUGCUCGGAAUCACUGGGCGUAAAGCGCACGUAGGCGGAUCUUUAAGUCAGGGGUGAAAUCCUGGAGCUCAACUCCAGAACUGCCUUUGAUACUGAGGAUCUCGAGUCCGGGAGAGGUGAGUGGAACUGCGAGUGUAGAGGUGAAAUGCGUAGAUAUUCGCAAGAACACCAGUGGCGAAGGCGGCUCACUGGCCCGGUACUGACGCUGAGGUGCGAAAGCGUGGGGAGCAAACAGG